rnacentral:rRNA from 1 species
UGGGGAAUAUUGCACAAUGGGCGCAAGCCUGAUGCAGCCAUGCCGCGUGUAUGAAGAAGGCCUUCGGGUUGUAAAGUACUUUCAGCGGGGAGGAAGGCGUUGUGGUUAAUAACCUCAGCGAUUGACGUUACUCGCAGAAGAAGCACCGGCUAACUCCGUGCCAGCAGCCGCGGUAAUACGGAGGGGGCAAGCGUUAAUCGGAAUUACUGGGCGUAAAGCGCACGCAGGCGGUCUGUCAAGUCGGAUGUGAAAUCCCCGGGCUCAACCUGGGAACUGCAUCCGAAACUGGCAGGCUAGAGUCUUGUAGAGGGGGGUAGAAUUCCAGGUGUAGCGGUGAAAUGCGUAGAGAUCUGGAGGAAUACCGGUGGCGAAGGCGGCCCCCUGGACAAAGACUGACGCUCAGGUGCGAAAGCGUGGGGAGCAAACA